GAUGAAGAACGUAGCGAAAUGCGAUACGUAAUGUGAAUUGCAGAAUUCAGUGAAUCAUCGAAUCUUUGAACGCAUAUUGCGCUCUCUGGUAUUCCGGAGAGCAUGCUUGUUUGAGUAUCAGUAAACACCUCAACUUCCAUAUCUUUUUUGAAUGGGAGUUGGACUUGAGUGAUCCCAACGCUUUUCCUCACCGAAAAGUGGCGGGUUACUUGAAAUGCAGGUGCAGCUGGACUUUUCUCUGAGCUAUAAGCAUAUCUAUUUAGUCUGCCUAAAAAACAGAUUAUUACCUUUGCUGCAGCUAACAUAAAGGAGAUUAGUUCUUGUGCUGACUGAUGCAGGAUUCACAAAGACAGCUUCGGCCGACUUUGUAAACUCGAUCUCAAAUCAAGUAAGACUACCCGCUGAACUUAAGCAUAUCAAUAAGCGGAGGA
rnacentral:misc_RNA from 1 species